GGCUGUGCAGGAGGCGGGUAGGCCCCAGGUCCGGGGUAGGCACUCGGUGCAGUUGGCCCAGGAUAAGCAGGUGCUGUUGGGCCAGGGUAGGCCCCAGGAGGUCCCUGUCCAGGGUAGGCCCCAGGAGGUCCCUGUCCAGGGUAGGGGCCAGGAGGGGCCUGUCCUGGGUAAGCCCCAGGAUAGGCCGCUCCUGGGUAGCCUCCUGCCCCAGCAGGCUGGUUUCCCCAUGAACCAGGCCAACCUUGGGGGUUUGGUUUUCCAGACCCAGAUAAGGCAUCAUUAAGCUGGAAAAAAAGACAUUAAAAAAUUUAUAGGAUGAAAAACAAUCACAACAGAAUUUUCAGGAAUAUGUGAUCUAAGAAUUAGAGGGAUGUGGUGAAGAUACAAAAUUCAUAUCAAUAAAGUUUUUCCUACCUUUUAGUUUUGAGUUCCUAAGACUAAAAUUUGACUAUGGUAUUAUACAUGCUUUAUCACUUUACUCUUGCCUCCCAUCAUCUCAGAUCAUUGAGGGUUGCCUUUUUGUAAUUUGCAAAAGUCAGGAGCUAGCCAUUCUCUAUGUAAAAGCACAUACUUUCUAACUGACAUUAAAAAAAAAAAAAAAAGUCACAAAACUCAGUAUAUUCUUGGGCUGCAAAACCUGCCACCGAGCUGGCCCUGGUUGCGUUGGCCUUCACUUUGCAGGAUGUCUACUGCACUUUGGGUUGGCCAGGUAAGUUAGCACUUGGUGGCAUCCAGGCUAGUACUAGAGAGGCUGCCUUGUACACAGGGAGAAGCCUGCGAUGUAGAGUCAGAAGGUUUGGCUUAAAAUUCAGUGCCAUCCAUCAAGAAAUCCAGUGUUAUCCAUCAAGAAAUCCAGUGUUAUCCAUCAAGAAAUCCAGUGUUAUCCAUCAAGAGAUCCAGUGUUAUCCAUCAAGAGCUCCAGAAUUUCAGAGCCAUCAUGUCACCUGUAUAGGACUUAGUGUCUUUGCUUGUAAAAUGGGGAUAAUGAUCUAUUUCAUAUGAUUGUUGUGACAAACAAGUGAGGCGGCAUUUGGGACGGCUCUUUACAGACUGCGAGACCGUGCCAGUGUUGGAUUGUGUCCUUUCUCUCCAGGAAGAGACUGCUUUCUCCCUGCCUGUUUUAUACAGUGUUGAGCACACUGCCAGGUGGUACAUGGAAGAGGUCCAGUAAAGACUUCUACGUUGACUGAAUAUCAUCUGCCAGGAUUGUCUUUGAUGCAUCGGGAACACAACCCUAGAUCUGGUGUUGGGGCAACACAGUGAGGCUGUGAAGGGAGCCCAUGUGGCC